UACGAAUUUUAUUAAAUACAGAAAUAUACAGCUUAACUCUACGCAUGGAAACAUUGACUAAUUGUAUACAUUUACUGCAAUUUCUGAAGAGAAACGUUCAAAUAUUUGUUAUAUUACAACGUUGCACAUGCAACAAUAGGGACGUGUUUAAAUAAAAAGCAUUAAAAUUAUACUGUCUUAUGUAGUUAGCUUUUUUAGUUGGUUAAUUUUACUCGUUUUGUAAAAGUUUGCAAAUAUUCUGAAAUUCGCUUCCAGUCUUUUACGCAAGUGCGCGGUUGUCGCCAUCGUUGCCUGGUAACGUGACCAACUAGUCCCAGUUCUUUUUGUGGUGUCGGUGUUUGCGGAAGAUUUUUGAUCGUUUCAAAAUCGUCUCCUCCAUUUCUUGAUUGGAAGACUUACCGGCGCUGUUAUCUCGCUCUUUGUCGUCUAUGACGAGAGAAAAAACCCUUAGGAUUCUAGGGUAUCGUAAAAUCGUAAAAAUUUAUUUCAAGACGCUAGCCUCAUGAAUAUAAG